rnacentral:rRNA from 1 species
CCUACGGGAGGCAGCAGUAGGGAAUAUUGCUCAAUGGGGGAGACCCUGAAGCAGCAACGCCGCGUGGAGGAUGAAGGUUUUCGGAUUAUAAACUCCUUUUUUUAGAGAAGAUAAUUACGGUAUCUAACGAAUAAGCACCGGCUAACUCCGUGACGGCAGCCGCGGUAAUACGGCGGGUGCAAGCGUUACUCGGAGUCACUGGGCGUAAAGAGCGCGUAGACGGGUUAGCAAGUCAGAUGUGAAAUCUUAUGGCUUAACCAUAGAAUUGCAUUUGAAACUGUUAUUCUAGAGUAUGGGAGAGGUAGGUGGAAUUCUUGGUGUAGGGGUAAAAUGCGUAGAGAUCAAGAGGAAUACUGAUUGCGAAGGCGGCCUGCUAGA